rnacentral:lncRNA from 1 species
UUUAUGUGUUUUGCCACUCCUACUUUUAUAUAGAUGUGAUAUAUGUUUCGUAUAUUUUUCAUAUUUUAGUUAUGAGAUAUUCCAAUCUCUAUCCGUUUCACAUACGUAUAUCUACAAGAACCAAAUAAUAUUUGACAACGAUGUAUUAAACAAAAAAAAUCAUAUUUUUACGAAAACAAAAAAAAAAACAAAGAAUCAUAUAAUAAUAUUAAAAGGUUAAUAAUGUAUCCGGACUUAAAACGAAUUAAACCCAUCAAAGUGAUUAGUCGAUACUUGUUUACGAAAAGAAAAAUAUAUUAUAUUUUCUUUUUGACAUGGUCAAAUAAUUUAUUUACAAUUGGA